UUUAGACUUUGGCUCUGCUAGGGCUCAUUCAGCCCCAAUUGUCAUUAUCAUAUUGAUUAAGUUCAUCAGAGUGCAAUUUUAGGUUUAACGCCAACGGAUUGGGAAAGGGAGCAAAGAAUUAUCUAAGAAAAGCACAACAUUCUUACCGCAGGGACGUUUCCCUGUUCCAGUUCAUUGAUGGAGUUGAUUAAGUUUAAAUGAAGCAGACACUGGAUAAAAGUGAGGGUAUUGACCACUGGGCAGUGCGGUCUGCGCUUGAAAAGGCCUGAUACAUGCAGAAAAGCAAGAUUUGCUAAAUGCUCUAAUCUUCAAUCAAAUCUUACAUCAAUACAGACAAAGUUUGGUAAUGAGAGAUUCAAUGAAGCAUGCGGGAGAAAGAAUUAAUCCUCUUGGUCUAAACUGGGUUCAACUUUGAAGCCUGCUCCGAAGGAAAGACAGUUAUCUAAAUGCUAAAUAAGAAACUUAUUGUACUUUUCAUGGCAUGCUAAUCUUUUGUCUAUUUCAUCUCUAUUAUUUGUAUGCUCCUAGAUUGCAGUUGUCAUGGUGAUUAUAUCAAGCCACUCCGGGCGGAUGGCUGCGAGAAAUCAGGGCCUCUCAACAACCCCCAGCCACACACACGCCCGCGAAAUGCCCCCAAGCCCCGGCCUGGCCGUCGAAGCCCCUGUGCCCGGCCUGCCCCACAGUCAGGGUGCUGCGGCCACCGGCCUGGCCCCCAGCUCUGCCCGGAGCCCUCCGUGCCCUGCUCUCGGCCCACACCAGGGCCCAGGGACGGCCCCUCCAGCAGCCCUGGGUGACACGGGCUGGGGGGCGGGUCGAGGGCUGGCAGCCCCGGCGCCCCUCGCCACCAGAUCGCACUGACCGUGGAUGCAACCCCCGGGGGAGCCCUUAUCCGCCCUGCCAGCGCCGCGGGCCGGCUGCUCAGCGGGGCCGGGAGAGGCGCCGCGAGCCCCGAGCCGCUUCCCCGCCAGGCUCGUGCAGCCACCCGGGGGUGCAGCCCCGAGGCCCCAGGGAGACCCCAGCCUCCCCGGGCAGAGGAAGAGGAGCGACUGCCCGGGCCGGGCCGGCCGCUGCACCGCGUCGCCGGCGGAGCUUGCCCCCGAGCUUUUGUGUGUUUUACAAAAGUUGCCAAAUGAAGGCGAGGUGCAAAUGCAAAGCUAUAAUGAAAGAGCCUGGCAAAAAGUUAAACGCCUCGUAAUUACACUCGUCUCAUUGUAAACGGCGAGGGAUACAGACGUGAUGAAAAAUGGGAGCCGGUUCGAUAUUCUCCCGGCGCCCCCGCCUGAACAAUGGGAGCCGGGGACUCCGGGCCUGCGUUUGACUCCGUCUCAAUUCAAGAGCAAGGCACAAAAGCUCGUGCGCAGAUAGCAGAGCCCCUCUGAUCCAGAUGAACUCUAGGGCACAUUAGCUCCUCUCUCCCCCAUCACACCGACAGCAGAUAAAACUCUGGAGAUCUGGAAUAAAACAAACUACUACUCCUCUCAGAAGGAACAUGCAGCCAGGUCGCAAUUAAAUAUACAGAUACACGAGCUGUUAGCAAGAUUUCACCCUUACAUCCAAAUCAGAAAGCAGCAAAGUUGGGGGAAUGAUUGCCCUGUCACUUAUUCUUUAUACUUAAAAUGCCUUAAAACUCGCCGGCAGAGCGAUGUGUUUGUUAUUCAGACACUUUCUUUUGUUGGUGUCCCUUUUGCUACUGGAAAAUGUCUUUGAAGUAUUAACUUUAGCUGCUGCUGCUUCUCUUCCAUAAGUGUGAAAAAAAUAAUAAUAAUAAUAAAAAAAAUCCUGGAGUCCCCAAAGACGUGUUCUGCCAGCUGCUGCAGCCCAUUGCCUUCCUCGCAGCCGAGCUCUCUCAUCGCAAUGAGGAUUUCGAGGCGGUUUGAUGCUCCGUCCUCCGGCUAUUGCCCCCCUGGCUCUGGCGGCGAGGCUUUAAACACGCCGCACAGAAGUUUUAAAGCCAGCAGCAUAUGGUACCCGGCUCGGGCGGGGAGCCCGGCCCCGGCGGAGGCUCGGGCCUGUGCGCGCCCCGGGGCCGGGAGGAGACCGCGUGUACCCGGAGGGAGCGGCCCCGCGGCCGUCGGAGGAGCCUGUUUACGCCGGAGCCGGGACUGGGGCCUGAAUAAUUUAUUUGGAGGGGCUGGAGCCGCCUCCCGGGCUCCCCGCACGGAGGCGAGGCGCGGGCCCUCCCCUCGCACAAUGCGCACCGGAAUUACAAAAAGAAAUUUUAAUGGGGUGGCGGCCAAUUAAAGCAAUUAGCUCCCGUCAGCCUCUCCCGCAGCAUCUCACUUCAUUAGGAAACGAUCAGAAAACAACUAGUCCCACCGGCUCCUCUGCCAGCGGUGCACAGCCCUGCCCCGCUGUCUCGUCGGGCUAGCUUGUUGCAGGCCAUGUGCUCCAAGGACAAGCCCCCACGAGGGGCAGGUGGGCUCUGCAGAGGGAGCAGAGCGCACCCUCUUCCUCUGCUCCAGGGAGAGGCGGGUAGGAAAAAGCACAGGCCCCAGCUCACCUCCACUGCAAGGUACCUGCCUGGUGGGGCUCCUUAGGCCACCUGGCAUAAGCAGCCUUGGCAGCAGGCCCUUCUUUUCGCCCUCUGCCUGCUUGCUGUGCUUAUGUUUUAACUGGAAUUAAGAACCCCUUUGUAUAUGUGCAAGAGCAGCAGCAAACUCCCCCGAGUUCACCACCUAAUCAUCCUGUUGUGAGCUCAUGCUGAAGAACCAGCUGGGCACAGAAAGUGCAAGACCAGGAGCUGAGAACCAGCACAGAGCCUGUGUGCCCUCAAACAUGAAGUGGGACUUGAGUGGGGCCGAGUGUGAAAGUUCCUGGGGAUGUACUAUCAGCUACCUCCAAGAUCCUCAAGACCCAUUUUUCCCUGAGAGAACAUAUGGCCUCCUGCAGCUUCUGUAUUUCUAUUGUCAUCCUUGAGAAAAGCCUGAUCCUGGGCCUCUUGAAAACCUGGCAUCUCUGCUGCUGCUUGCAUUUAUUUCAACUCACCUUUCAUGUUGGGGUUGCUUAGAUGUUUGAAUCUCUUUUUUUAAUCUAUCUUUCUCUUUCCUGCUACAGCAGAUGAAUGGCACUCACUAGUACUGGGGCCAAAUUUCUAUAUUGCAAGAGCAUUCAGGCCUGAUAAAACAUGUUAGGGAAGUACAGUAACUCUCCCCUUCCUCAGUGGUAAUCAUUUACCCAAUACAAAACACCUUCAUACCGGCAUGACUCCAUCUACCCAGAACCUGGCACCACUUAACUAUACCAGUACACAUAUUAGAUAUACUUUAAGUGGUUAAUUCUUCUAGUAUAGGCAGGUCUUUUUAUUUCUUCUUAUGUUUAAAAAGCACUUUUUCCCACAUUACACUUAUUUGAAUAAUUGAAAUAUUGUACUAGGUCCUAGUCUGAAAAAAAUCUAUCACCCAUAAAAUGAAUGUCCUUCCACCCAUCCCAAUGCAAUCCUCCCUUCUAACUAGUAACUAAUACUUCCUCAGGAAGAGAGAGAGAGACCUAUUAGGGUAACCUGAAUGGCAAAAAAAAUCAGAUCCCACUAGACCCAGAAAAGAGUCCAGGUCCAGACAAUGAAACCACCCUCUGCUGCCAGCACUAAGUAGGCUGUAAAUUCCACUGUUUUACCUGAUCAUAACCCCUACAUUAUCAUGAGAAAACAGAGGCAGAUUAUAAACUAACCAUGGCUCAAGCCAUUAUGGGUUUUAAAACCUAUAUAGAACCUGGAAAAUAGAAGGCAGCAUAAGAAACAAUUCACAGGUGUGGUACACUUCAUGCAAGAAGUGCA